AUUGAGUUACCUCAAGCAUAUGUACCAAACCUUUACAAUCAAGGAAACAAUCAAAACAGGUACAACAUUCGUGAUCUAUCCACUAACAAAUACCAUCUUAAUUGGAGGAACCAUCCAAACCUUCGAUAUGAAAAUCAACAGCCCACCUAACAACAGUUAAUGUUACCAUUACCACCACCACAAAACCCUUUCCAAGUAACCACAUUUGCACCUUCUAGACCUUCACUUGAGGAUUUU
rnacentral:lncRNA from 1 species